ACUCCUACGGGAGGCAGCAGUAGGGAAUCUUCCACAAUGGGCGCAAGCCUGAUGGAGCAACACCGCGUGAGUGAAGAAGGGUUUCGGCUCGUAAAGCUCUGUUGUUAAAGAAGAACACGUAUGAGAGUAACUGUUCAUACGUUGACGGUAUUUAACCAGAAAGUCACGGCUAACUACGUGCCAGCAGCCGCGGUAAUACGUAGGUGGCGAGCGUUAUCCGGAUUUAUUGGGCGUAAAGAGAGUGCAGGCGGUUUUCUAAGUCUGAUGUGAAAGCCUUCGGCUUAACCGGAGAAGUGCAUCGGAAACUGGAUAACUUGAGUGCAGAAGAGGGUAGUGGAACUCCAUGUGUAGCGGUGGAAUGCGUAGAUAUAUGGAAGAACACCAGUGGCGAAGGCGGCUACCUGGUCUGCAACUGACGCUGAGACUCGAAAGCAUGGGUAGCGAACAGGAUUAGAUACCCUGGUAGGAUAGCG
rnacentral:rRNA from 1 species